GAGUAACCUGCCCUUGACUCUGGGAUAACCUCCGUAAACUGAAGCUAAUACCGGAUACGACGUACGGAGGCAUCUCCUGUACGUGGAAAGAAUUUCGGUCAAGGAUGGACUCGCGGCUUAUCAGGUAGUUGGUGAGGUAACGGCCCACCAAGCUUACGACGGGUAGCCGGCCUGAGAGGGUGACCGGCCACACUGGGACUGAGACACGGCCCAGACUCCUACGGGAGGCAGCAGUGCGGGAAUAUUGCACAAUGGGCGCAAGCCUGAUGCAGCAACGCCGCGUGAGGGAUGACGGCCUUCGGGUUGUAAACCUCUUUUAGUAGGGAAGAAGCGAAAGUGACGGUACCUGCAGAAAAAGCACCGGCUAACUACGUGCCAGCAGCCGCGGUAAUACGUAGGGUGCGAGCGUUGUCCGGAAUUAUUGGGCGUAAAGAGCUUGUAGGCGGUCUGUCGCGUCUGCUGUGAAAACCCGAGGCUCAACCUCGGGCCUGCAGUGGGUACGGGCAGACUAGAGUGCGGUAGGGGAGAAUGGAAUUCCUGGUGUAGCGGUGGAAUGCGCAGAUAUCAGGAGGAACACCGAUGGCGAAGGCAGUUCUCUGGGCCGUAACUGACGCUGAGGAGCGAAAGCGUGGGGAGCGAAUGGGAUUAGAUACCCCAGUA
rnacentral:rRNA from 1 species